AAUGCAAAUUUUUUAGCUAUGGACAAGCUGCUAAGAAAGAAACAUGGUCCUUUUGAUGUGCCAAUAUACGCGGAUCAUAUUCGAUAUGUGCCAAAGCAUGUGUGCUGGGUUAAAAGCUUGAAUAUGAAGUCUUUAGAGCACGGCCUCCUCUUUGGAAUGUGGUGCUUCAAAAUGAGGCUGCUAAUGCUGAUGAAGAUCUUGAGCAUUUUGAAGAUUGUGAGUUUAUUCCAACUACAUAUAGCGGGAUUUUGAGAAGCAUGGGUGCUUGAGUUUUACAUUUAAAAUCCAAAAAAAGUCAUUGCAAAAUUUGAUCAUUACUUUGCAUGAACACUAUAUAAGAAUUAUAUUGAGAUAAGCAACUGAUACCUUUAUGCAGAUAUGUUCUUAGUUUUAUUUUAGUGUCACAGGUUAGUCAUUGUUUCAUAUGUAUACUUACUACUAUACUUCCUCAAUUUCAUGAGCAAUGCAAUGCAGAUAAGGUAGGCUGGUGGAGCUCAUGGCACUUGCCUCACAUGUCCACCCCUUGAUAGUUGCAGCCAUAUGGAAAUAAUUUUCAUGAUUAUUGUUUGUGAGGUGCAUAAAGUUUGCUGCAUUUUUUAUCUUUGGUUUGCGAUUAAUAGGUAUGUUUCGCAAUUCUUACAUGUAAAUAAGAUUUUCUAUGCUCGAAUUUAUCUUUUCUUUAGUUUCUUUAGCUCAUUGUUUCUCAUUAAUACAUUUUGACAUUUGAAUUAGAUCAUAAAGAGGCACAAUCUCUGUAGACCGUAGUUAUGAAAGAGUUGUUUCAGAAAAUAAAGGAAGAUUUGACUAGGAACUUCCAAAACUUUGAUUUAUUGUUGCUGCUUGUGCUCUCUUUGUAUCAUGACAUAUUACUCGUAUUGGAUUAGAGUGACUUGACAAACAAUCUUUCUUUUAAUAAAGUAAAAGAGAUUGGAGCCCAAUGUUCAUUGUGACAAUUGAAUUAGAUUAAUCGGGGAAUUAAUGUGUUGGAAUGUGUGAUGUGUGGGAUCUAAAAAAAUUUAUUUGGGGGGUUGACAAUUUUUAUUGAACACUGAAACUUGUGAAGGAUGUUAGUGUCUUGAGAAAAAUAUGCGAAUUAUCCUAUAGUAGCACUUGAAUUUUUGAUUGUUGUCUUGUGAUUUCCCUUAUAUUAAUAAGAAUUUCUGGUAUAAGUCGAGUAAGUAGGAGAAACUAGCACUGGUGGCAUGUAAAAAAAAAAGUUGUGUGAAGUGUGUUCCAUUGAUCGCAUCAAAUGAACAAUGUUCAAGAAUCAACACAAAAGCCUUUAUGUGAGCUUUCGGACUAAAGCACUUUCAUUUAAAUAGUGCUCCUAUAUUUCUUUUGAUUGAGGGCAUCAAACUUAGUGUGUCCAUUCUAGAACUUGCUUGUGUAAUACAUUUUGAGUUCACAUUCUUGUAAGAUUGGUGCAUGAAAGUGAUAAGGGCACUUAGGAAUACCCCAUUACCUCAAAACAGCCUACCUUGAAUUCACCCAUAGAAAAACUCAUUUGAACCUUGGCUUUUCUUUUGCUGGUUAAACCAUGUUAUAAGCUGAUUCACCCCUUUCUUGAUUAUCUCCUGAAAUAAUUUUUGAACCCAGUCAAGGGAAUGGUGCUGGCUUGGUUGCUUGUAAAUCGACUUGAAAAUGAGUGAAUGAAAUGAAGUUGCAUACGAGGGAUGCACUCCUAGCCCCAAGGAAAAAAAAAAUGGAACAAGGAAAUGUAGAAACAAAUGAUGAAACAGAAAGAAUAAAGAGAAGAAGAAAAAAAGAAAAAGAAGAAGAAAAGAAACGAAAGAAGAAAAGAUUGAGAAAAAAAAAAGAGAAACAGAAACAGAAAAUGAAAAAAUUCGAGGUGUUUGAUUGUUCAAGUCUCUUGAAUCGAGUUGAAGGGCAAUGAGGUUGGAAGGAUAAGCAACUAGGUCGGCAUCACUCCUUUGAAUUGAUAAGCCACAAUUCAGCCUAUCUUUUGCCAUACCUUGUCCUAAACCCCAUUACAACCCAUGGAAAGACCCUUUGAUUCAUGUAUUAAUUUUCAUUUCAUUGGUGGAGGAGAUUUGAUUCACAAGCAAGCCUAUGGUAAUGGCAUUCUAUGUAUUGAUCUGAGUGGAACCCAAGUUCCUAAACACUUUAUGAGUGGAGUGAUACAGUGAUAUCCUUGUGAGAGUGUUGAGACUUGUUUCAUUUUAUUUUGAUAAAAUCAAUGGGAUACUUGUGUGUUGAAUGUUGUAUGUGGGUUGCAAGUGCUUGUCUCAAUACUAUUGGCUCUUCUUAUACUAUUAAGUCUUAUUAGUAUAGGGGUUAUACUUGAGUGACAUGAAAGGAAAUUUGAGAAUUGCUACUUGGAUAAUUCGUGUAUUUGGAUUGAGACAUGCUUGGGGUCAGUCAUAGUUUUGAUCUGGGGGAAUCUGAUAAGAUAUAUUUUAAAGCUCCUGUGCGUUCUUAUUUCAAGUGAUUGGAAAAGAUUUUAUUGCAUACUGUAGUGAUGUUAAGUUACCCCAAUUUUCUUGAGGGUGGGAGUGGUAGUGUAAGAUAGGUAAUAGUUUUUUACAAAUCACAGUUGGAAGUUAUAGAAAUGAGAAUUAACUCGUGUUAUUGUGGUGAAUGAAUUUUUGUGUGAAGUUCAGAGCUAGCAUGUCUUGUAAUUAAUGUUGUGAUAGCUCCUUUAUGCAUUUUGUUAUAAGGUUCAGAAUGUAUUUCUUCUCUCUACACAAAUAUCUUGUUUGUAGUUUUUAAUUUGUUAUGUUGCUUUCCGAGUGUUAAUUGGAAUGACAUUUGAAAAAAGUGACUUGCCUUGUUUCUCAUAACUGGAAUGAGG